ensembl:lncRNA
CAGAAGGGGUGGAGCCAUGCUCCCCCCCUUCCUACACCCCAUUUAAGGGCUGACUCUCAAGGAGGAAGGAUCUUUAUCUGGUGCUCAUCCCUCUUGGAAUCUUUCUGUGAGCCCAGAACAUGGGACUAAACGUGAAAAAGAUGUUCUUCAUAGAACAUGACACAAUCCCACUCUUGGACAGCCUGGAUGACGGAACGCAAAAGAGUGUACAGUGCCUCCCCCCGUUGCUCACAUGCCCUGACUCAGUGCUGCUGGCAGGGAUGAAUGGAGCACAGCGUGAGGUCAGCUCCCAGACAGCACUGUCCCAGCCCCUCCCCGGGAACGUCACAAAGGACCCACCACCCAUCUGCGUGGGCACCCAUUUCUGAAGUCCACAAAGCUUCUAAAGAAAAGUACAAGAUAUCCCAGGAUCUUCAUAUGCAAUCUGUGAACAUCCAAAGAACUGCAAGAGCAGCAGGAAAUUUUCUACAGUAGCAGUGUUAUAAUCCAGCAACUAAAUGUCUCUAUGAGAAGGCAUCAUGCCCACAUAUACCUGUGGUGUGGUGGGGCUCUGUUCAAGUCCAGCUGGGCAUAACCACCACACUCCAAACACAACCUUCAGAAACCCCACGGAGGAGCUGCCUGCACCCUCUGCUCCCUUGGAAGAAGACUGGAAGUGACUCAUCAGAAGAAG